rnacentral:rRNA from 1 species
CCUACGGGUGACAGCAGUGAGGAAUAUUGGUCAAUGGGCGAGAGCCUGAACCAGCCAAGUCGCGUGAGGGAGUACUGCCCUAUGGGUUGUAAACCUCUUUUGUCGGGGAGCAAAAGCCGGACGUGUCCGGCUGUGAGCGUACCCUAAGAAAAAGCAUCGGUUAACUCCGUGCCAGCAGCCGCGGUAAUACGUAGGAUGCGAGCGUUAUCCGGAUUUCUUGGGUUUAAAGGGUGCGCAGGCGGAGUUUUAAUGCAGCGGUCAAAUCGUGGGGCUCAACCCCAUCCAGCCGUGUAAACUGGGGAUCUAGAGUGUGCGAGAGGUAUGCGGAAUGCGUGGUGUAGCGGUGAAAUGCAUAGAUAUCACGCAGAACCCGGAUUGCGAAGGCAGCAGACCGGUGCACAACUGACGCUCAGGCACGAAAGCGUGGGUAUCGAACAGGAUUAGAUACCCGAGUAGUC